CUGUUUCUGAUAUCCUUUCCUUCCAUAUCCACCAUUAGUCGUUUUAUUGUUCUUACUGUAUUCCCUCUUUCUAGAUUCUGUAAUUCCAAGCCUACUUUCCAAACAUUACAUAUGUAACUUGAGCUCAAGAGUUGGUCGCCAAAGAAAGGUCUGCAUAGCAUUGGUACCCCUUCACAAAUGCUCUCAAUGGUUGAAUUCCACCCACAGUGGCUCCAAAAUCCACCCACUGCAGCAUGAGCCAACACUUCCUUUUGAGGUGCCCAUUUCACAAUGCAACCUCUUUCUCCCACGCUCUCCUCAAACCCAUUUGGCAAAGAUUCAAUCCAUUCUGAGCCACAAACCAUACCAGGUCUAACCACCCACAGGAAGGGUUGUUUACUGUUGGAUAAUCCCCAAGCUGUCUCAAUUAGUUCUUGCUUAUCAAUGUUGGCAAUGCUACCAAAGCUCACAUAGAGGACAGAUUUGGGGGCUUGUUUGUUAAGCCAAGAGAUGCAUUUAUCAUCUUCAGUCAAUAAUGAGCAGCAAAUGGCUGGAGCUAAUUUGUGUAAUGGUCCUACUGUGAAAAUUGGAGUAGGAAAGUAUUGUCUUACCUUUGACAGUGCUUCUAGUUCCAAAAAUUCCAUUGAGUUCACAAUUAUAGCUGAUGAGAACUUAAUCGCAUUUGUGAAUGCAGCUCUCAACUCCAUCAUCGCUUGAGUCGGAUUCUGUACUAUUAAUGCUCGUAAGCGUUGAAGCUGCAGAGCUUGAAGCUCUGGUGAUUCAGCUCCAGACAUUAAUUCUGCAACACAAAUUUAACCCACGUAUGAUCAUCAUGUAUACAACUUAGAGGUGAUCAUGGGCCGGGCCAAGUCGGGUUUAGGCUGGCUCGAACAAAAUUUUAGGUUUGUUUUCUAAGCCUGUGCUCGGCCCGACCCAGAAUAUAGGCCUAAAUUUUUUUUCAAGUUCGGCCCGAAAAAAAUUGUUAAGUUCGAGUUCAGUCUGGCCUGAACCAUAUUAAAUUUUAUAAAAAAAAUAUUUAAUAUAUAUAUUUGAUUAAAAAAUAUAUUUGAUUAAAAAUAAAAUAUAUAUAUUUAAUAUAUAUUUCGGGCCGGGUUGGGCCCGGACUAAAAAAUUCUUACCCAAAAAACGAGCCUCUUUUUUUACUCAAACCCAUAUUUCGAGCCUUUAUUUUUAUUCGAAACCUCUUAUUUUUCGGGUAAGCUGUCGGGCCGGACCGGGCUGCCCAACCCAUGAUCACCUCUAAUAGAACUUGUUGCAACAAAAUAUUAAAGUGGUAUGUAUACCUUUCUCACCAAGUUGAGGAAGUACCGGAAAUAAUAGCAUUGUUGUAGCCGAACUUGUACGCAAAGUUAUCCCGGGUAUCCCCAGUUCGUUGACUAUAGUUUGAGCACAAAACAUGAGUGUAUCAUAGAUGACUGCAGCAAUAUGGUGAUGAGAGUGCAAAAUGUUUUCGAGGCAUUUUUGUAAUGGUGCUGCACAGUUUUUGUUGAGACUCUGGAAUGAACCUGCAACAUCUACAUUUGAGACUAGAGAUUCCUUGAGCUUAUCUGCAAGGUCUUCAUCUGAGAGUUGAGAUUCCUUGAUCUUAUCUGGUAAGGAUACGAAGGUGAAUUCGGGGUGGUUAGAAGGGUUAAGAGAGUUCAAUUCAGGGUGAACUAUAGUGAUUGAGAAGCCCUUUGAGUGCAAGAUAGUAGCUAGCUGGAGCAUGGGAGUUAAGUGGCCUUGGAAGGGUGCCAUAACAAGCACCAAAUGACCGGAUUUCUGUUGUUUCUCCAUUUUUGUUCUCUCUUUCUCUGGACUUACUGGUGGAGGACUCGAAGACUAAUGGAAUCAAUAAAUAAAAAGAGAUUAGAUCUUAAAAACUAAGUAUUCCUUUGCUUCUGGAAAAGGUGUCAAUCAGAACACCAAAUUUGACCCUUACUUUUGUCAAAAAUGGCUGCUUUAGUCUUUGUUUGAGUGGAAAAUAAACCGGAACAUCAAUUCGAGUAGGAAAUUUACGAAAAUAUUUUUUUAUAAUCUUUUCAUUUUUGAGACCAAAAUUUUAUUUUAAUAUAAAAUUUAUAUUUUAAUUCUUUUAUGCACGCUUUAUUAUUUUCAUCUGUUAUAUAUAUUGAUAAUAUUAUUAAUUGAGUUUAUGUUACAAGUAGACCUAUUCAUGGGUCGGGCUGGGUAGCCGCCCGAUAAGUGGAAGGAUUUAGUUCCAAACCAAUUGUGGUGCAAUUAGAAUUCUUGAUAUGAUGUAUUAAUGUGUUUAAAUUUCAUUUUAUUCACAAUUUAAUUUAUUUUUAUUUUAAUGUUGUACAUAUUUCAUAUGUUUUUAUUAAUUAGUUCCGAACCAAUCAUUUCAUUAUUUAGUGUAUAUUAUUUUGAAACUAACAUUUAUAUUCUAAGUACUUUGUUUUCGCACGUAUACGCAUAUGAUUAAUGGAUAAUAAUUUUUAUUUAAAUUUAAUUAUAAUAUAUAUAUAUAUAAAAUUAUAUUUAAAUAAUAGAAUGAAUGAUCAAGUUGUUUUAAAUUAGACAACAAACAAUAUCUAAAUUUUGACCUAAUUCAUUAACAAAGUCUUGUGCAUGCAAUUUUACUAAAAAUUAUAGAGAAGAUAAAACAAUCAUUGAAAAAUUGUGUUACUUGGACUUUUUAUUUUAUUUAAAUUAUUCAUGAUUUUAUGUUCAACAUAUUUUUAGACAUAAUCGAGAUAUGAUCUUCUAAAAAUAUAUAUAUAUAAACUUAACAUACACUCUUUAGGUCUAUAUUGAGUUUACAUACAAAUCCGGACAACAUAGAUGUAACAUAUUACUAAACUAGAUCAUACCAAAACAAAUGUUUAUAGUUUCCACCGUGAAAGAGAAUGAUGCCUACUCAGUUUUCCAAGCAUAUAAAACAUAACAAAACUUUGGAACAUUUAUGUUGCAAUCAUCAUCGUUGUUUAUGAUUUGAAUCCGGUUCACCUGGUAUGAAAAUAAAUAAUUCAUGGCUUGAACCAGAUUUAUUAUAUAACCAGUCAUGUACAUCUCAGAAAACUUGUACAGGUGUUUUGUCAUGUGACUAUUUCAUUUCCUCUGAACCUCCAAUGAAGGUUCAUAACUCGAAUGAUGGUGGUACUGUCUAUGGUAACCCACAUUUCGGGAUCAUCGGGAUCGGAUAGACAAUUCUCGAUUAUAAUGUCGUGUUCUAGUAUCCCAUCAAAUCAAUAUAGAUUUAAAAUAUGUUCUUCUACUCAUCAAUGAAUACUGAUCCAUCAUAACGAUUGUUGAAGUAUCGUGUGGAGCUCAUUAGCCAGACUUAAAAAAAAAAAAACUUAACAACCUAUUUAUUUAGAUAAAAGUUUUCAUAUAAUUUAAUAACUAUUUUAUAACUUUUUAAAGUUGAUUAACCAAAGUAUAAAUUUAUUAACAAUUUCAUGACUUUAGAUAUAGUUUUUUUUUCUCUCAUAACAACGCAAAAAUACUUUUAUUUUCAGGUUUAUAUCAUGAUUUGUUUUCGAUUAUUUUAAGUUAUUUCAGGUUUUACUAUUACAAUCUCAUCAUGAGAUUGCGUCAAUUUUUGCCAAAAGUGGCAUCUUACGAGAAAAAAGGUCUAAGAACACAUAUGUAAGACAUUUAAAGCUUUUUUGACCUAUUUUGUCACGGGCUAGCAUUAGGUCCUCUUUCAUGGAUAUAGUUUAAUUUAUCUUUAUCUCUUUACAGUUCACCUAAAAGUUAUUGUGCCUCUCUAGUGGCAAAUCAUAAUGGUAUUUGCGUCAUAAACGUAUCAUAUGUUGGAAAAUGUGGACAUCACAUAUAUAAUAAUAGUGAUUAUAUGUUAUUGUUUAGUAUCAUAAAAGAUCAGCUCAAAUUAAAAAUGAUUUAAUUUGGUUAAGGUUUAUCGGGCUUUAGUUAUUAAAUAAAGUAUGAGCUAAAUAUGUAUAGAUAUUUUAAUAACUAAUUUAUAAUUGAUGAUGGGAUGAUUAGAGAUGAUUUGAUGAUUUGAUGUAAUAAAAAAUAUUUCUACAUCUAAUUUUAUUCUUGAUGAUUUGACAUAGAUCCUGAUUGAUAAAGUUAUAUAUUAAAUUAUUGAGAACCAACUUAUUGUGGAAGAAAAGAAAGUAGGGAGAAUCCAACCUGCCAAUUUUCGUGGGAAAUUCAUUGGGUAUUUGGUUGUGGGGUAAUUGCAAAAUAGAACUACAAGGAUGUUUAAUUUCAUGUCUCUUAAACUGAUAUCUGCUUUAUUAACCCAUUGAAAGAACAACUUGUAGAACCGUCUUCCAUAAGACGAAGAGCAGCUUUCUUCUUCAAAUCCAUAGCUCUCUUUCUCAUAUCCUUUCCUUCCAUAUCCACCAUUAGUCGUUUUAUUGUUCUUACUGUAUUCCCUCUUUCUAGAUUCUGCAACUCCAAGCCUAUUUUCCAAACAUUACAUAUGUAAUUUGAGUUCAAGAGUUGGUCGCCAAAGAAAGGUCUGCAUAGCAUUGGUACCCCUUCACAAAUGCUCUCAAUGGUUGAAUUCCACCCACAGUGGCUCCAAAAUCCACCCACUGCAGCAUGAGCCAACACUUCCUUUUGAGGUGCCCAUUUCACAAUGCAACCUCUUUCUCCCACACUCUCCUCAAAUCCGUUUGGCAAAGAUUCAAUCCAUUCUGAGCCACAAACCAUACCAGGUCUAACCACCCNNNNNNNNNNNNNNNNNNNNNNNNNNNNNNNNNNNNNNNNNNNNNNNNNNNNNNNNNNNNNNNNNNNNNNNNNNNNNNNNNNNNNNNNNNNNNNNNNNNNNNNNNNNNNNNNNNNNNNNNNNNNNNNNNNNNNNNNNNNNNNNNNNNNNNNNNNNNNNNNNNNNNNNNNNNNNNNNNNNNNNNNNNNNNNNNNNNNNNNNNNNNNNNNNNNNNNNNNNNNNNNNNNNNNNNNNNNNNNNNNNNNNNNNNNNNNNNNNNNNNNNNNNNNNNNNNNNNNNNNNNNNNNNNNNNNNNNNNNNNNNNNNAAUGCAGCUCUCACCUCCAUCAUCGCUUGAGUCGGAUUCUGUACUAUUAAUGCUCGUAAGCGUUGAAGCUGCAGAGCUUGAAGCUCGGGUGAUUCAAUUCCAGACAUUAAUUCUGCAACACAAAUUUAACCCAGACCAAAAUUACGUAUGAUCAUCAUGUAUACAACUUGUUGCAACCAAAUAUUAAAGUGUUAUGUAUACCUUUCUCACCAAGUUGAGGAAGUACCGAAAAUAAUAGCAUUGUUGUAGCCGAAGUUGUACGCAAAGUUAUCCCGGGUAUCCCCAGUUCGUUGACUAUAGUUUGAGCACAAAACAUGAGUGUAUCAUAGAUGACUGCAGCAAUAUGGUGAUGAGAGUGCAAAAUGUUUUCGAGGCAUUUUUGUAAUGGUGCUGCACAGUUUUUGUGGAGACUCUGCAAGGAACCUGCAACAUCUACAUUUGAGACUAGAGAUUCCUUGAGCUUAUCUGCAAGGUCUUCAUCUGAGAGUUGAGAUUCCUUGAUCUUAUCUGGUAUGGAUACGAAGGUGAAUUCGGGGUGGUUUGAAGGGUUAAGAGAAUUCAAUUCAGGGUGAACUAUAGUGAUUGAGAAGCCCUUUGAGUGCAAGAUAGUAGCUAGCUGGAGCAUGGGAGUUAAGUGGCCUUGGAAGGGUGCCAUAACGAGCACCAAAUGACCGGAUUUCUGUUGUUCCUCCAUUUUUGUUCUCUCUUUCUCUGGACUUACUGGUGGAGGACUCGAAGACUAAUGGAGUCAAUAAAUAAAAAGAGAUUAGAUAUUAAAAAACGAAUUUUUCCUUUGCUUCUUGAAAAGGUGUCAAUCACAACACCAAAUUUGACCCUUAAUUUUUCAAAAAAAAAGGCUGCUUUAGUCUUUGUUUGAGUGGAAAAUAAACUGGAUAAUGUCAAAAUCAAUCAAACAUCAUUACGAAAUUUACGAAAAUAUUUUUUUAUAAUCUUUUCAUUUUUGAGACCAAAAUUUUAUUUUAAUAUAAAAUUUAUAUUUUAAUUUUUUUAUGCAUGCUUUAUUAUAUUCAUCUGUUGUAUAUAUUAAUAAUAUUAUUGAUUGAGUUUAUGUUGCAAGUAGAGCUGUUCACGGGUCGAGCUGGGUAGCCGCCCGAUAAGUUGAAGGAUUUAGUUCCAAACCAAUUGUGGUGCAAUUAGAAUUCUUGAUAUGAUGUAUUAACGUGUUUAAAUUUCAUUUUAUUCACAAUUUAAUUUAUUUUUAUUUUAAUGUUGUACAUAUUUCAUAUGUUUUUAUUAAUUAGUUCCGAACCAAUCAUUUCAUUAUUUAGUGUAUAUUAUUUUGAAACUAACAUUUAUAUUCUAAGUACUUUGUUUUCGCACGUAUACGCAUAUGAUAGAAUUUUUCACGAAUAAUAAUUUUUAUUUCAAUUUAAUUAUAAAAUAUAUAAAAAAAUAUAUUUAAAUAAUAGAAUGAAUGAUCAAGUUGUUUUAAAUUAAACAACAACCAAUAUCUAAGUUUUGAUCUAAUUCAUUAACAAAGUAUUGUGCAUGCAAUUUUACAAAAAAUUAUACUGAAGAUAAAACAAUCAUUGAAAAAUUGUGUUACUUGGACUUUUUAUUUUAUUUAAAUUAUUCAUGAUUUUAUGUUCAACAUAUUUUUAGACAUAAUCGAGAUACGAUCUUCUAAAUAUAUAUAUAUAUAUAUAUAUAUAUAUAUAUAUAAACUUAACAUACACUCUUUAGGUCUAUAUUGAGUUCACAUACAAAUCCGGACAACAUAGAUGUAACAUACAAUUACUAAACUAGAUCAAACCAAAACAAAUGUUUAUAGUUUCCACCGUGAGAGAGCAUGAUGCCUACUCAGUUUUCCAAGCAUAUAAAACAUAACAAAACUUUGGAACAUUUAUGUUGCAAUCAUCAUCACUGUUUAUGAUAGAGUUUGAAUCUGGUUCUGUAAUAGCCCGAAUUUGGGCCUAGUCGAAACAGUGAUUUUGGGACCACAAAUGUAAUAUUUUGAAAAUUUCUACAGUAAGAUAUUAUCCUUGGUAUAGUAAAAUAAGGAAAUAAAGUAACAAAAAGGAAAUUUUGAGUUAUGUCAACAUUGAGAAGUAUAUUAUGACAUAUUAAUGCAAGGAAGGAUUAAAUCGUAAAAGUGAGAAAAGUAUUGUUGCCCAAGAGUAAAUACUCAAAAUUUGAGGGGUUAAAGUGCAAAUAUGAAAGAGUUGAAGGACCAAAGGUGUAAAUAUUUUAAGGGUGGAAUAAUCUAGAAACUAAGAAAAAUGGAUGGAUUGAGACCAAUUUGAAAAAGGUGAAGAAGUUUGAGGGACUAAAUCACAAUUUUACCAAAUUAAGUGAUGACUCAAGGAUGGAAUUUUAAAAGAUCAUGAAGGGCAAAAUGGUCAAUUAGAAGAGAGAGAAAUCUAGAAGAUAAUGAUGAUGUUGGAGAUAUUUUAGAUUAAUAAAUAAAUAAAUAUUAGUUUAUUAAUAUUUUAAUUUAAUUUUUUUAUGAUAUUAUUUUAUUAUUAUUAAUUUAUUUAGUAUAUAUAUGUGGAAAGAAGGCUGAAAAGCAUCCAUCCCCACCAUUUUUGCAUGCAUUAACGUGAGAAGAAGAGGAGAAGAAAGAAAGCUUUGUUUUCUUUACAAUUUGGUCCUUUCACCAAAAAUCCACCAUUUUCACUUAGAAAUCAAAGAAAUUUCUAUAGCCACCAAGAGAGAAAAUUGACAAGGAGACUAUGGGGAGCUAGAAUAUCAAGUUAGAUUCAAGAAAUAGAAGCUGGAGGAGAGAGAAAAUCAAGUUAAAGAUUGAAAUCAAUUGAGCAAGAUAAGAACAUCAAGAUUUCAAUAUAUUUUUGAGUUCGAUAUUAUUGAAAAGGUAUGAACUUGAUGUUAAUGUAGAGUUUUAUUAUAUAAGGUUUUAUGUUCUUGGUAUGUUAAUGAAGAGAAAAUAAGAGAAAGUGAUGAGAAAUAGUGUAGAGAAAGAAAAUAAGAGUGUUAUAAACUUAGUAAUCAAAAUUUUGCACUAAAACAGUUUAGACAGCAGCAGUAGGUUAACUUUGAAAAAUCACCAAAAAUUGUGGGAAUUGAAUUAGAAGAUGAAUAAAAUAUGAAAUUAAAUUUUAUUGAGUCUAGUUUCUCAUAGAAUAAACAGUGUAAGCAAUAUAAUUGCAAAUCAUGAGAUAUAAUAAAUUUUGUGAGACAGUGUUAGAAUGAUUUCGGGUUCCCCUGUUCUGAAUUUGGAAAAUCAUCAAAAAUUGAAGAAAAAUAAUUAUGAGUUAUAAUUUAUAUUAUUAGAAUCCUUAAUGAAUCUAUUUUCAAAUGAAAUAAACGGGAACAUCAUCAAAAUUCUGUACAAUGAGAUAAUUAAUUUUUAGUGAAGAGUGGUCGGAACUGUCAGACAGCAAAACAGGGGAAACUUUAAAGAAUAAACUGUUCUAUUUGGCUGAACCAAAAAUUCUGAAAAUUUUAUGGCAAGAAGAUAUGUGAGUCUAGUUUCAGGAAAAAUUUACGGAUAUUAAUUUGGAUUUCUGUAGCUCAAGAUAUAAAUGAUUUAGUGGCUAUGACUCAAAUGGACAUCUUUGAAUAAAUUUACAAGAAAAUAGUGAAAUUAUAGAUAAUGUUACUUAUAAGCAUGUUAUGUAAAUUAAGGAUGUGGAAUGGAGAGGAGGAGGAGGAAAAUAAAUUUAUGAAUAUUAUGCUAGCAUGGAUUUGCAUUUCAAAUGGUUAAUUUGCAUGAUUUGGGCUUGAGGACUAAAUUGAAUAAAAGUAAAACUUUUGGGGUAAUUUUGGAAAAAUGUCAAAAAUAACCAAAUUGCAUGAAAUGAGUUGUUUUAUUCAAUGAAAAAUUAAUUUAGAUUAAGAUCGGGUAAAAAAAUUUGAGAAAAUGGAAAAUUAUCAAAAUGCCAUUGUAUCUUGGUAUUUCUGCAAAUUAGCCUGGUAAGUUCAUAUGGUUGAAAUUUAAUGAUUAAAUGUUAAUUUCAUGAAUUAUAUAAUGUAUGAUGAAAUAUAUAUUUAUUGAUGAAAUGAGAAUAAAAUAAAAAUGCGAAAACUGAAUAAAUGAUCAAAUGGAGUGGAACGCCGGAUUUGAGUACUUCUGAUCAAGUGAUAAAGUGUUAAGUGAGAGCUUAGCUACACUUAUCUGAUCAAGUGACAAAGUGAUAAGUGAUAGCUUUAGCUACACUUAUCUGAUCAAGUGACAAAGUGAUAAGUGAAAGUGAUAAGUGAUAGCUUUAGCUACACUUAUCUGAUCAAGUGACAAAGUGAUAAGUGUUAGCGUUAGCUACACUUAUCUGAUCAAGUGACAAAGUGAUAAGUGGUAGCAUUAGCUACACUUAUCUGAUCAAGUGACAAAGUGAUAAGUGGUAGCAUUAGCUACACUUAUCUGAUCAAGUGACAAAGUGAUAAGUGGUAGCGUUAGCUACACUUAACUGAUCAAGUGACAAAGUGAUAAGUGGUAGCGUUAGCUACACUUAUCUGAUCAAGUGACAAAGUGAUAAGUGAAAGUGAUAAGUGAUAGCGUUAGCUACACUUAUCUGAUCAAGUGACAAAGUGAUAAGUGGUAGCAUUAGCUACACUUAUCUGAUCAAGUGACAAAGUGAUAAGUGGUAGCAUCAGCUACACUUAUCUGAUCAAGUGACAAAGUGAUAAGUGGUAGCAUCAGCUACACUUAUCUGAUCAAGUGACAAAAUGAUAAGUGGUAGUCUAGCUACACUUAUCUGAUCAGGGACAAGUGAUAAGUGAUCAUAAGUGAGACCAUAGUUAUACUAUGGCAAAGUGGAAGUGAAUUACUCAAUUUUCUGUAACCGUUCCCUAAUUUGAUUAAGAUGGUAAGUGACAAAUGGGCCCAAAAGAAUUAAAGCAAAUGGAUAAGUGGUAGUGUAUUUAUACCAAGAUGAUGUUGUUAUUUAAGCCAAAGUGAUAUCUUCAUUGCAAAAUUGAGAAUUUCAUAAAUGUGUUAAUGAAUGGUAUAAUCGUUAAACGUUGAGUUAAAUGGUAAAUACGUAUUAGUGUUAAACUUAGUGACAUUGAAUUGUACGUGAAUUAAAUGGAAAUUGCUAGUGAUAAGAUUUAAAUUGUGAGCAUGAGAAAUUGCGAAUUGAAUGAAAUGGAAAUGAAGCAUUGAAUUGCAUGAGUAUGUAUCGGGUCUCGUAGACUCUAUUUAUUAAGAUUAUAAUAUUUUGAGGAUAUAUUGUGAAGAGUUAUAAAAGCAUGUUAAUAAUUUUGAGAGUUUUAAUUUAGAUGAAAUUUUUAACUCGGUUAAAUAUGUUUACAAAUGUAUGUGUUCUGGUAUUGCCUCGUACCCUAUUCCGGUGUUGGAUACGGGUAAGGGAUUUUAUAGGUUCACCUGGUAUGAAAAUAAAUAAUCCAUGGCUUGAAUCAGAUUUAUUAUAUAACCAGUCAUGUACAUCCCAGAAAACUUGUAAUGGCCUAAAUUCAAAGUUUUCGGAACAGUGGUUUCGGGACCACAAAUACGAUGAGAAAAAUUUUAUUUUUCUUAUAUUUUUAUGGUCUAUGAUUUCACAAAAUGAUUUCAUGAAAAUUUCGUUCGAAAAUUUUGACGUUUGAGCACUCAAUUUAGUCAAAAGGACUAAAUUGUAAAAAGUGCAAAAGUUGAGUUGUACAUGUUAGAGGUGCCCAAUUGUUACGAAAAUUUAAAUUGGAGGUCCUUAUAUGGUAAUUAGACCAUUGGUAACUUGGUAGACAAAAAUGGACAUGAGAUAAGUGAAAUAGAAAAUUUUUAAGUUAGGGGCAAUUUGGUAAUCUAGUAAUAAAAAUAAUUAAAAGGGAAAAAGAUGGCAAAAAUCAUCAUCUUCUUCAUUAGGACGAAAUCAGCAAGGGGGGAAGCCAUAGUUAGGUUUUUCAAGCUUCCAAGCUCCAUAGUAAGUGAUCCCAAGCCCCGUUUUUAAUGUUCUUUACGUUUUUGAGAUCCCGGUAGCUUAAUUUAGCUUAUUUUAGCAAUAAUUUAACCUAGGGUUUUUAUUUGGAAAAAUACACAUAGGUGAAAAGUGUUUAUUUUGAUGUUUAAUGAUAUAAUAUGAAGCUAGAAAUUAUGUUAAACAAUUUUUGUUAAGCGAUUUUAAGCGAAAACGAGUAAAACGACAUAAUCGGUAAAAAUACCUAAUGUUCAUAAGUACAUGUUAGAGUGGGAAUUUGAUGUUGCCAUAGAAGGGAAAAAUGUUCAGCAUGUCAUAAAAUAUAAGAAUAAGAGAUGAAGUUUAAUUUCCGAGCAUUGGGGAAAAAAUGUAAUUAUGUAAAAGUUUAGGGGCAAAAUCAUAAUUUUGAAAAAGUUAGAGUGGAGGGCUGUUUUGAUGAAUGUGAGUAUUAAAUAAGUUAAAUUUUCUAUUUUAGAUCAAAAAGAACGAAACUCGAGGUUAGACAAAGGGAAGAAUAAAGUUGAAGACUAAGUUGUUGAAUUGGACUAUAUUUGAUACCGAGAUAAGUUUACGGUAAAUAAAUGCAAUAUUUCAAUAUUUAUUAUUAAUGCUGUUAUUUUCCAGCAAUUAUGAAUUUAUUUUAUGAAUUUAUUUGAUGAUGAUCCAAGCAUGAGAUGAUAGAGAAUAAAAAUUAAAAAGUCCCGUUGAUACAUAAGGAUGGUACUGGAUACAAAUGUCAUGACAUUUGGGUAAAGAGAUCUCAUAUAAGACCAUGUCUGGCACAUGGCAUUGGCAUCCUUAAGAUCAUGAGAGGUCUCCUGUAAGACCAUGUCUGGGACAUGGCAUGGGCACCGAGACGAGAGGUCUCAUGUAAGACCAUGUCUGGGACAUGGCGUUGGCACCGAGAUGAGAGGUCCCCUAUAAGACCAUGUCUGGGANNNNNNNNNNNNNNNNNNNNNNNNNNNNNNNNNNNNNNNNNNNNNNNNNNNNNNNNNNNNNNNNNNNNNNNNNNNNNNNNNNNNNNNNNNNNNNNNNNNNUGGCUUUGGCAUGUUAUUAUCAGAAGAGACCUGAGUAUCCUUAUUAUUCCAAUGUAGCUCAACGGGCUUGUAAACGAAUCAUGUUCAUGAAAGUUUAGUUUAAAGCAUAAAUGGCAAGCUCAGGUAAGUUAUAAGAGUUAAGAACUUAUUAUACUAUCAAUUGAUGUUCAACUAUGUAGCAAGAGUUGAGUAAGUUAUGCACACAAGUAUUCUAAGUAAAUAAGUAAGAGAACUAGUAUGAGAUUAACUAAAGAGUAAACUAGAGAUAUAGACUUGAGUUUAAUUAUUUAAGUUAAAUAUGGUUAUUUAUUUGCUAGUAAACUUACUAAGCUUUAUGCUUACUUCUUUUAUUUCUCUUUCUCUUAUAGUAUUGAAAAGCUACUUCAAGUAUCCUAAAGAAGUCGGAGAUCGUCCACACUAUCAACCACAACUGCUCGGUAUUUUAUGUCGAAACACGUUUGAGUUAUGGCAUGUAUAGGGAUUUAGUUAUUUUGUGUGUUUGUGACUAUGAUUUUGCUAAUGAAUGAUGUGUAAGAAUUUGAUGAUUUAUGAUCAUUAAAAUGGUUAAGUAUGAAGGUGUUUGUUGUUAUGAAAGUCUAGGUGAUAAAUUAUGCAAGGAAAUAAUGAAAGGAUAGAAUUUUGCAAAGAAACAGAAUUCAGGCAGCACUGUGACGUGACUUUGAAAAAUCACCUAGGAUGGUAUAAAAUAAAUUAGAGGGUAAAUUAUAUAUGGAAUUAAAUAUUAUUGAGUCUAUUUUCAUGGAAAAAUAACGGUGUAGCAAAAGGAAAUUUAUAUUUUAAGAUAUGUGAAUUUUAGUAAGAUAGGGUCAGAACUAUUUUUGGAGUCCCCUAUUUUGAGUUUAGAAAAUCAUUAAAAAUUGUAAAAAAAUAUUUAUGAGUUGUAUUUUACAUGCUUAGAUUCCUUAUUGAGUCUAUUUUCUGUAGAAACAAGUAAUAACUUCAUAUGAAAAUAGUACAGUGAGAAAACUUAUUUUUAGUGACAAGAGGUCAGGACAGUCAGGUGGUAAAACAGGGGAGAAUUUAACUAAUAAACUGUACUAAUUGGCUAAGCCAAAAAUUCUAAAAAUUUUAUGUUAGGAAGAUAUAUGAGUCUAGUUUCAUGGAAAAUUUACGGAAUUAAAUUUUGAGUUCCGUAGCUCGAGUUAUAAUUAAUUUAGUAACUGCUGCAUGAUUGGACAGCUUUGCUGUAAAUAGUGAAAUUAAUUUGCAAUGUAAAUUUUUAUGCUCCGAAUUAGUAAGAUAAGUUACGUAAUGCCUCGUGCUCGACUCCGGAAACGGUCUCGGGUAAGGGGUGUUACAAAACUUGUACGGGUGUUUUGUUAACUGUGACUAUUUCAUUUCCUCUGAACCUCCAAUGAAGGUUCACAACUCGAAUGAUGGUGGUAUCGUCUAUGGUAACCCACAUUUCGGGAUCAUCGGGAUCGGAUAGACAAUUCUCGAUUAUAAUGUCGUGUUCUUGUAUCCCUUCACCUAGUUUGGUCUUGGAACAAAAGAGUCUUUUCCCACAAAUAUGCUCUUGCUUGCACAACAAGUUAGGGUCUAUUAAGGAAAGUUUUUUCUUGGUUCUUUUUAAAGCAUCUUUUUUCAUGUCACCUAUAACUAAUACCACUUUUUCAUCACACACCAUUGCUACAUAAUAGUCUGAGCAAGGCUCGAGCUAGCAUUGAACUUCGUUUCUCGAAAAUCCCAAUAAAUAUCGAUCCUUUCGCCAUCUAUUUCGAUGUUUUUCAGACCUUUUUUCCCCAAAAUUGCCAUCCAUUUAAAUCAAUCUUGCAGGUAUUAUGGCUUUGAUCAUCACAAGGACUUUCUACACUUAUAGUAAACGAAUGGCUAACCGGGCUUUUGCACCAUGUAGCUGUUACUUUGCGGUACAAGUCCCCAAUAUUGGCACCGUAGAUAAAGGAGACUGAACAUUGUGCAGCAUUAUCCGUUGUUACCCGAUUCUCCUUCUGUUUCCCCGUUGAUGGCGGUGAACUUGGAACAUUAGGUAAUGCAGCUCCCUCGAGAUUUUUUAACAUUGUUGAGGCCCUCGGCACAACGGUGUUUCAAACUUGCAGCUGAUAGCAAAUGCUCUGGCUAUAUUGAAUACUGAUCCGUCAUGAUAACGAUUGUUGAAGUAUCGUGUGGAGCUCACUAGCCAGACUUCAAAAAAAAAAAAAAACUUAACAACCUAUUCAUUUAGAUAAAAGUUUUCAAAUAAUUUAAUAACUAUUUUAUAAUUUUUUAAAGUUGAUUAACCAAAGUAUAAAUUUAUUAAUAAUUUAAUGAUUUUAGAUAUGGUUUUUUUUCUCUCAUAACAACGCAAAAAUACUUUAUUUUAAGGUUUAUAUCACGAUUUGUUUUCAAUUAUUUUAAGUUCUUUCAGGUUUUGCUUUUACAAUCUCAUCAUAAGAUUGUGUCAACUUUUGCCAAAAUUAGCGACAUCUUAUGAGACAAAAAGUCUAGGAACACAUAUAUAAGACAUUUAAAGCUUUUUUGACCUAUCUUGUCACGGGCUAGCGUUAGGUCCUCUUUUGCAUAACUUACAUGAAUAUAGUUUAAUUUAUCUUCAUCUUUUUAGAGUUCACCUAAAAGUUAUUGUGCCUCUCUAAUGGCAAAUCAUAAUGGUAUUUGCGUCAUAAACGUAUCAAGUGUUGGAAAAUGUAGACAUCACAUAUAUAAUAAUAGUAAUUUUAAGUUAUUGUUUAGUAUCAUAAAAGAUCAGCUCAAAUUAAAAAUAAUUUAAUUUGGUUAAUGUUUAUCGGGCUUUAGUUAUUAAAUAAAGUAUGAGCCAAAUAUAUAUAGAUACUUUAAUAACUAAUUUAUAAUUGAUGAUGAGAUGAUUUGAUGUAAUAAAGUACGCUUCUACAUCUAAAUUUGUUCUUGAUGAUUUGACAUAGAUCCUGAUUAAUAAAGUUAUAUAUUAAAUUAUUGAGAACCAACUUAUUGUGGAAGAAAAGAAAGUAGGGAGAAUCCAACCUGCCAAUUUUCGUGGGAAAUUCAUUGGGUAUUUGUUUGUGGGGUAAUUGCAAAGUAGAACUACAAGGAUGUUUAAUUUCAUGUCUCUUUGAUGAAGUUGGCCAGCAUGCUGCCACACCAGCCAACAUGCAGACCAUGAAGAUCGAGCAAGGCAGAAGCUACUGCAGCAAGCUUAAAUUGAUCUAGUUUUGUUCAUUUUGUAAUGUUUAGUUAAUGAAAUGUAUCUUAGUUCAUUUUCAACUAUGCUAGGUUGAUGAUUGAUGUAAUAUCCUGAUUGAUGAGCUGUUUAUUCAGCUUUGCUUGUAUUUACAAGUUAAUUACUUCAAGUUUCAAUGCUUAGUGGUGUUAGGUAACCAUUAGGUAAACAUUUUGCUGAUUUUGACAAGCUUAGUGCUUGGUUUAUGUAUAGGCAUUAUGCCAUUGCUCAUUUUUAUGAAUGAAAUCAGAAUUUGUUCAUCAAUACUCUCUUCAUUUUCUUCUUUUUCUUCCUUAUUUUUACUUGAAACAAGUUGUUUGCUCAGCAAGUAUCGAGGCUUGCUGCACAAGACACAAGCUGAGCUUGUCUGCUUCUGUUCUAAACCCAACACUCUUAAACUGAUAUCUGCUUUAUUAACCCAUUGAAAGAACAACUUGUAGAACCGUCUUCCAUAAGACAAAGAGCAGCUUUCUUCUUCAAAUCCAUAGCUCUCUCCCUGAUAUCCUUUCCUUCCAUAUCCACCAUUAGUCGUUUUAUUGUUCUUACUGUAUUCCCUCUUUCUAGAUUCUGCAAUUCCAAGCCUAUUUUCCAAACAUUACAUAUGUAACUUGUGUUCAAGAGUUGGUCGCCAAAGAAAGGUCUGCAUAGCAUUGGUACCCCUUCACAAAUGCUCUCAAUGGUUGAAUUCCACCCACAGUGGCUCCAAAAUCCACCCACUGCAGCAUGAGCCAACACUUCCUUUUGAGGUGCCCAUUUCACAAUGCAACCUCUUUCUCCCACACUCUCCUCAAAUCCGUUUGGCAAAGAUUCAAUCCAUUCUGAGCCACAAACCAUACCAGGUCUAACCACCCACAGGAAGGGUUGUUUACUGUUGGAUAAUCCCCAAGCUGUCUCAAUUAGUUCUUGCUUAUCAAUGUUGGCAAUACUACCAAAGCUCACAUAGAUGACAGAUUUGGGGGCUUGUUUGUUAAGCCAAGAG
rnacentral:lncRNA from 1 species